ensembl:lncRNA
GGCUCACAGCCCAGAGGGGUAGCAGUUUUCUGGGUAGAGAUUGUACCUUUCUUGGGCUGUUGCUGAAAGGGAUUGUUAAUGAAGAUGUUAAAUAAACAGGACCAAACAGUGAUCCCUGCAGAGCUCCACAAGACACCUCCCACCAAUUUGAUGCAUUGCCAUUUUUCAUUACCCUUUAUUUGCACUCAGCCAGCCAUUUUUAAAUCCAAGAGACAGUACUCUAUGUCCAAGCCAAUUUGAAUUAAUUUUGCAAGUAAAGAUCUUGUAAGACACUACAUCAAGUGUUUUACUCAGACCAGAUAUAUUACACAUGCUUUCAUCCACUAAUUUUCUAAAGCUAUCAGAAAAAGCAAUCAAGCUUCGGAGAUUGUUAUUGCACCCAGCCAACUUUUUGCUUGUCUGUUCACUUACAAAGCCAAUUCUGGUAUUAUUAAAGAAUUGCCACUCCUUUAGCUGAUGACUGAUUUAAAGUGUAUUUUUCUAAUCUAUUACCUUUCCAAAAUAUAAUACAGUACUGAUUAUUCUUCCUUACUUUUACUUUAGGGUUAUAUGGCAUGUAGAUUUGCUUUGAUUGACAGAUUGGUCUUUUUCUUUAAAAGAACCAGUGAUUUCAGUAGGUUUGGUUAUGUUUAUUUUACGUGUUUCCAGCUGUUAGACUGUAUAAGCAGUUAUUCCUUAUUCUCAAUAUGAAGGCAAGUAGGUCCUUCAACAUCUCUUUAAUUAUAUCAGCAAAGCAGCAUCAGACUGGCAGAAGGGGACAAAAAUGUCAGGACUAGUUCUAGCCAUAUCAGAUUUAUUUCUUUUCACAGCCAGAGAAACAUGCCAGUUAAGAUAAAAACUUUCUCCCUGUUUAACACAUUCCUCUCCUCUGUUUUCUUGAGUACUCAUGGUAUAAAUUUUACUCAAAACUUCUUGUCAGGA